CCAGCGUCAACCCAGUCUUCUCCCUCCACCCCACCAGGUUCCUGGUUCCUCCUGCUGCAUCAACACGCCCAGUGUACUCUGACCUUUGCACAAGCCAUUGUCUCUGUCCCAACGCAGAUUUUCACUGUUUUUCUUUUCCAGAUAAACCACACCAUUGAUCUAUGCUCAGAGCUCUGCUUGCCCUGUGGGAAGCAGCCAGUGCCCUGUGAGAAGCAGCCAUCCGAUGCCCAGGGAUUAGGAGGCAGCUGAUACCACUUGGGUCUCCAGUCUCGAAAAGAACAGUUUCACAACAAAAUUGGCAAAUAUUAAUUGGAAAGGAGCUGCUGGUGGAGCCGUGCAUGGAGGAGAGCAGUGAGCCCACUGCAGAUGGACGUGAAGAUGGCUGACUUGCCCACAGUCCUGGGGAGCAGAAGCCGUGUGCAUGUGUAUGUUGGGGGGUCCUCUACUGCUACACAGCAAGACUGGAUCUUGUAUAACCCCAGCUGACUAUGCAGCCGAGGCUGGCUUUGAACUUCCGAUUCUCCUGUCUCUGUACUACCCUACCCAGGCUCUUGGCAGCUUUAAAACGUACACUGUAUUAUCAACGACAGUCGCCACUCUUUUCAACAGAUCUCUGAGGCAUUCUCCUCUUACCUAGCUGAAGAUGCAUCCCCUUCUAGGCCUUUCUCUGGGUACAGAGAUCCACAUUUGGGGGGUUGUAUUUUUACAUAUCAUUUCAUCUAAUGAUGUAGCAUGACUAUUCUCUCGAGUCAGUGGGUCUUGUUUCAUGAGGCACCAAAAUGGCUGUAGAGAGCGGAAGCUUCCUAACAGGAUGGUCAGAGAAGAAAUGACUGUCACAGCAGAUCCACUGGGCAUACCGACCCCGCCAGGGCCCCGGCUCAGCCACACAGCACGUGCAGAGCCAGCGUGUAGCUAGAACCUGCACUGCUGCCCAGUGCCUCAAGAGAGGAUGAGCGUCCACACUGGCAGCCUGAGGAAAGAGCCAUGCUCAAGUUCAAAGUCCCCCAUCAAAGGCCUUCCUUCCUAUUGCUUUUGCAGGGCCAUCAAGCUGAGAAGUCCCAGCCAGCACUGGUGUAAGUCGAGGACCACAUCUGUGCUGGGAGCUGGGUGACUCAGCCCUGAAGCGUGGGGUUGAUUUCCAAGCUGGCGACCGGCCAAAGGAACUGUUUUGAAUUUGCCUCAAAUCAAACGUGAACAAUGUUAAGUAGCA